rnacentral:rRNA from 1 species
CCUACGGGAGGCUGCAGUGGGGAAUAUUGGGCAAUGGGCGCAAGCCUGACCCAGCAACGCCGCGUGAAGGAAGAAGGCUUUCGGGUUGUAAACUUCUUUUAAGAGGGAAGAGCAGAAGACGGUACCUCUUGAAUAAGCCACGGCUAACUACGUGCCAGCAGCCGCGGUAAUACGUAGGUGGCAAGCGUUGUCCGGAAUUACUGGGUGUAAAGGGCGUGUAGCCGGGCUGACAAAUCAGAUGGUAAAUCCCGUGGCUCAACCACGGAACUGCAUUUGAAACUGUCGGUCUUGAGUAUCGGAGAGGCAGGCGGAAUUCCUAGUGUAGCGGUGAAAUGCGUAGAUAUUAGGAGGAACACCAGUGGCGAAGGCGGCCUGCUGGACGACAACUGACGGUGAGGCGCGAAAGCGUGGGGAGCAAACAGGAUUAGAUACCCCGGUAGUC